rnacentral:lncRNA from 1 species
CGCCCUGCGCCCAACACGCCCACGUGGGCGACCCGGCACUGCUGAGGCCCCGGCCCGAAGCCGUGCGGGCGUGGAGAGGAAGUUCUGGGAGUGGGGUGGCGAGAGGGGCCCCUGGCGGGCAAGCAGAGCUCGGGCCUCGCGUCCGCUCUGGGAUCCCAGGCUGAAGAAGCUCCGUCGCAGUUGCGGGCCAGAGAGGGUUAGACUCGGCUGGCGGUGGUGCCCCCAGAAGAUCCGGACCCAAGACGCGGCGCACGCGGAAGGUUGGAGGCCCUGGAAGUCGGGGCGCGCUGAUCCCGGUCUGGGGCCUUGGCUGGCGCCAACGACCUGGGGGCUGUUUUUAUUUUCUCAGCGAUGAGAUCACUCCGACUGACAGCCCCGAAGCUGUGUGCGGAGGAGGGAGUUGGAAGGGGGAAAAGUAGACUUUUAAAAGUGGAGUAUUGGGUACCCCAGUGACAAUCUGAACAAUAGCUGGAGCCAGGGGUCUCUUGGGCCCUGUGAGCCAAGCACUUGUUAGAAAAUGGGCCUCGGAGACAUCCGUUGAGUUCAGGAAGAAAUGAAGGGGGGGGGGAAGAUUUAGAAUUUAUUUGGGGGAAAAUUUAAGGGGUAUUAGAAAAACUCGUGAUACAGAAAGAUCCGAAAUUCGAUACCAAAUAACUAGGAAAGGGAACUUUGUUUCCAAACCAAUGAACAAAAAAGUGGGGGGCAGAGAAUACUACUUGGAAGUUGAUGUGUUUUUAAGUUAGCUUAGGUGGGAAGCCCGGAAACCGUGGCACGUUGGAGAGCUGUGGGGCUUUUCUCCCACCAGCAGAAUUCAGGGGCCUCUGCCCACAGGCCCCCCAGCGCCUUCCUCCUACCGCCUCCCCUAUCAGGCAGCCGGCGGCUUAGGCUUUUGUUUGUUUUUAACAGCAGGAAACCCCCCAUGGUGAGAAAGAAGUUAUCUCCAAACCCUGGUGCCGGUGGGGAGUUACAAAGCCCUGUGAGGUGUGGCCGGAUCCACAAAGUCAGCUCAGAAGCUGCAGGGGACUUGCCCUUUCACAGAGGAUGGCCUCCCACUAGCUGUCAGGGGCGGCCGCUUCUCUUUCCCCUCUGAACUCCCUGCUUGCUGGGACCUGAAAGGAGAAAUCUUAAGCCUCAUCGAAGCUGGUUCCAGCGCUGCUGAUCCUAUUUGUUGGUGGCAGCUGUAGUCAUGCGUUUUGCUGUCCUAUUCCCAGCCCUUAGGAAGAGAGAUCAGGAUAGAAGGCAGUUGACAUUUAUUAAUUGCCGUCUUCAUUCCAGAUAGCCCAAGUGCUGCCCUCUGAAGUAAUCUGCACAGUAGUCCCUGAAGUAGAUGUCCUUAUUCUUCACAUCUAUGAAUGAGGCACCUGAGACACGGAGAGAUUUCUGGACUUCUGGGGAUCCCACAUGGCAGAGCUGGGGCUUAAGCUCAGGACUUUGUGAGGCCUUAUUCCGAAAUUGCCAUUGCACCCAGCUGCCUCAUAGAGCAAGGCAGAGGUGACUUUGUUAAGAGAGCUCUUUGCAAAACAAAAGUUCUUUAUCCAGGCACACUAUUGUGAGAGCUUAAGAAAUGUUUGCUUGUGGUGACAUGGGCUACAAAUAGCUUUCCUUACAGCCUCCUAGGUCUGCUGUGGGACCCUAAUGUGAAAGCCUCAAUGAAAGAGAACCAGCAGCUGUGGAGUAGUAGACCACACCUUGGGACCCAGGAGUGGUGUGGUGCAGGGAGCCGAGUUCAGGCUAAGGCAUCUAUGGAGCAUCUCAAUGCAGCCCUCCUGCUCAGGUCUGGGAACUCUGAAAGAUACCAGGGGACCUAGGGAAGCACCAAGGAGUGGGGUCAGGGUGUGCCUGAGUGGGCAGAGGAUACAGAGGGACCCUUGCAGUCAUCAUCUUGCAGACAAUGGUUAAUUUUAACCCAAACCUCAAAUCCAGCAAGGCCAGCCCUUGAGAGUCAGCCAGAAUACAAGUUCAGGCUCCAUCACCAACUAAUGUGGCUUUGGAUCCUGGCUCUUUUCCUCCUUCACUUUGCUGAGCAUGUGUUCUCUCAGCUGUAAGAAUGGAACUAAGGAUUCUUAUGGUGCAUAGUGGUGAAUUCAGAAAGAGAAUCAUACGCAUCCUGCUCCAGUGCAACCCCUCAUCUUACACAAAAGAGAGCCAGUUUGCACUAGGGAGGGAAGCAGCCCAAGAGAGAUUCAAGGAUUAAAUGGAGUGGAAGGGCCUGAUGUGUACCUCACCUUCUAAACUCAUGGCAUUGGAAGGGGCCUUGUUCAAGCCCCUCAUUUUCCUGAGGGGAGGAAAAAACUAGUCAGCCAACUAGUUAGUGUGACUGAACCAUGCAUGCUUUCCCACAUUUCCUUUCCAAGGCAGCAUUGUUGUGACAGGGUCUGCUGGGUGUGCAGAAAAAUAAAAAGCUGGACCCACAUGGGAAUCUGAUGGUGCUGUCUCUGGGCUAGUUCUUUCUCCUCCAGUGAGAAAAGUUGAAUAAGCCCAGUGUCACAAAACCCCCUAGGAAGAGUGAGAAGUUACUUUUUCUCAGUUCCAAGAGACCCUUACAUGCCCUCCCCAGUUUGGGUGAUAAUGGGUAAGUGGCUACUGAUGGAUGCAACUCUGUUCUGGCGCCUGGUUUCCUGGGGCCCAGCCAGUCCUGCUUUGCAGAGGUUGUCCUUGUCCUUGGAAGGGAAACAUUAGCCCAGUUAAUUUUUCAUCAUGGUAAGUGCAAAGUUCAGGAGAGGUGGGAUGGGGGUGGAGGCACAGCUCUGUCUCCCUGGGAAUAGUCAGCCCUAUCAGGAGCCUCCAGACAGACAUGCCAAAGCAUGUUUGGAGCAGCUCCCAGGUGGAACCCUGGAGAGAAACGAACACCUGACUUGGGUUAUGUUUUUUUCCCAUUAGCCAAAGGGUGUUUAAUCAGCAAGUGGUGAGUCUAGAAAGAACAUUGGGAUCAUUCUGUCUUCAUUUUACAGAGACAGAAAGGGAUAUCUGAGGAAGGGAGGUGAGCAGGUUGGAACUAGAACUCUCCUGAGCGUGUCCUCACCCAGAAGAGGGCCUCUACCUACAGCCAGGUCUCUGUAGCUCUUUAUAGCACCUUACCCAGUGGGCUCUCCUGGUACCAGACAACCUGGGUUAAACUUCCAUCUUCACCACUUCCAGCUGUGUAACUUAGCUCUUAUGUGUCAGUUUCCUCGACCAUAUAAUGGGAAUGGUAAUAAAAUUGCUUCUUAGAUUAUGCGUGGAAUCAAAUUGGCUGUGUCAAGAGCACAUAGUAGGUUCUCAACAUACAUGGAUAUGGCUGAUGCAUAGGAUAGAGCAUCAUACAAGAACUAGAAGUUUCAUGUACAUAAGACAAAUGAAUGAUUCCUAAAAACAGUUUGGAGGGAAAAUAGCCACAGUGAAAUGAAUAGCGUAAUGCCACCUGGGUAAAACAUCACAUACAGGCCUGGGGCUGUGGCUUAGUAGUAGAGCACUUGCCUAGCACAUGUGAGGCACUGGGUUCAAUCCUCAGCACCACAUAAAAAAAAUAAAUGAAUCAAUAAAAUAAAGGUAUGGUAUCUAUAACUAAAAAAAAAUCAUGUGCAAAACAACAAUGCAUAUUUUGAAAGAAGUCAUACAAACAAAAAGUAAACACACAUUGAGAUGGCUAUUUUUAAAAAAUAAAAUAACAAUUGUAGAAGAUGUAAGGAAAUUGGAACUCUUACUCAUUGCUGGUAGGAAUGUAAAAUAGUGCUUGCCUCUGUGUAUGGUACGUCCUCAAAAAAUUCGUUAGGAUCACUAUAUGAUCCCUCUAUGAUCCAGCAACGUGUGGGUAUAUACAUAAAAGUAGUGAAAGCAGGUGCUCAAAGGUAUCUGUGCAUGCCAUGUUCAGAGCAGCAUUGUUCACAAUAGCCUCAGGUGGAAACAACAAUAGCCACAGGUUGAAAUGCAUUAAGAAAAAUGUUUCUGCAACCAAUGAAAUAUGUGGUGUAUACAUACAACAAGAUUCCGAUUAGUGCUACGACAUGGAUAAACCUUGAAAACAUUAUGCUAAAAGAAAUAAGCCAGUCACAAAAAGAUUUAAAAGUCAC